AGGUCCAUAGCUCAGUGGUUAAGCAUAUGAUUUGCAUUCAAAAAGUCCCCGGUUCAACACCUGACAUCCCCAGGUGGGGCUG